rnacentral:rRNA from 1 species
AUUGAACGCUGGCGGCAGGCCUAACACAUGCAAGUCGAGCGGAGCUGCGGACGGGUGAGUAAUGCCUAGGAAUCUGCCUGGUAGUGGGGGAUAACGUCCGGAAAGGAGAGCUAAUACAGCAUACUAUCAGCUGAGACUUGUUCGGAUUAGCUAGUUGGUGUGGUAAAGGCCUACAAAUGCGACGAUCCGUAACUGGUCUGAGAGGAUGAUCAGUAACAAGUGGACUGAGACACGCUCCAGACUCCGACGGUAGGCAGCAGUGGGGAAUAUUGGACAAUGGGCGAAAGCCUGAUCCAGCAAUGCCGCGUGUGUGAAGAAGGUCUUCGGAUCGUAAAGCACUGUAAGUUGGGAGGCGUUACCAAACGAAUAAGCACCGGCUAACUCCGUGCCAGCAGCCGCGGUAAUUC